UUCAUUUGGUGAAAUGUCUGGGAAGUGUACGGCUGGCAGGCUGAAAAAGUCCUGGGAGAAAAUAACUCGUGCUGGAGAGCAGCAAAGUCCUUCCCACUGGAACUUCCUAGACGAGUCCUUUGGGUUACACAUCUGGAAUUACUUUUACUAGACAAAUCUCUUUUCACUGGACGUCUCUGAUUUCAGAAUGUGUGAUAAUUCAGACACCAGUUUGUUGAUCUGAAGUUGCCUUCAUCAUAUUCCAUGAUAGAGGAUUUACCAAGCAAAUGUCUGAAUUAUCGAUGCUUUGAAGUCCUGUAAGGCCCAUUUUGAACCGUAGGAACUGAAAUGUUGGUUGAUUAGAGGCACUGAUGCUCUGGGUGUGGUGUGACAGAAGCGUGAGAGCCGUGUGCAGGGCCUGGGUUUGCAGCCUGGCUCUGCCCCUUGCAGGCUUUGCUCACGGGGUCCCUGUGAGCUGCUUACUCACCUGCCGGGGAAGUGAGCGAGUCCUUCAAAGGAGGCGUUGAAAGCCGACAACAAAGGCACCUUAAUACACCUUUGAAGAUACUGCCUCGGUCUCAACUCCACCACGAAGACUAAGACGUCUCUGUCUGCCCUGUGAAAGCGUUUAAGGACAUGGCUAAUUUCUGCCAUCAAUAAAUUUACUGGUCUUAUUCUAUUGGGUCACUAUAAAACUGGCAACAAGCAAACAGGUCUUCAGCAAAAAAGCACUUUGAUGCUCAUAUUACCCCAAAUCACUGUGAUCAUUAAGGAUAGAAAUCAAGAAGGAACAACAAAAUGUGCAGGCCCUAAAACAGAAAGGACGGACGGAGCGAAGCCUCCUGCCUCCUUCCUCUUCCCAGCUUUGCAGCAGGUCCUCAAGUGGGCAAGGGCUGUGGGAGUUUUCUUUUGCUGCUAUUAUGGUAAAUUACCACAAACUUAAUGGCUUAAGACAACACAAAUUUAUUAUCCGAGAGUUCUGUGGUUCAAAGGUCCACUACGGGUCUCACUGGGCUACGGCCAGGUGUCAGCACACUGCAUCCUUCUGGGGACUCCAGGGGAGCCCCCGUUUUCUUGCCUUUUCCAGGUUGGAGGAUGGCCACCUCACUGGGCUUGGGCCCUUCUGUCUUGCAGCUGCAGCAGCAUCUCUCUGACUGUAUCUGGCAGCGCAGCCCUUCCUCCGACUCCUCUCCCUUCCUCCUCACCAGAAGCACCUGGGAUGACAUUCACCCACUGGAUGAUCCAGGAGAAUCUCUCGUCUCAAGGCCACCGAUGAGCAACCAUCAUCCUCUGCCAUGGAACCUGACACAGGCUCGCAUUCCAGGGAUCCAGACGUGGAUGUCUCUGGGGCCAUUGUUCCCUCGACCACAGGGAACAACUGCAUGGGUUUCCACUGGUCAAGACAGAAAUGUCGCAUGACUUGGCCGAAGCAGCUGCAGUGGGCAGCCAGGGGUGGAGGCCUCUGUCCUCCACUUUGAGGCUCUGGUCAGGCGUUUAAUUCCUUGCUCCGGAGAUAUUCCCAGUGAGUCGGCUCUCGUUAAAUCUCAGAAAAUUCGGUGCUGUGGAGUGGAUGAGACUGGUGUAUCAUUGUUUAGGCCUCAUCUGAGCCUAUGGAUUCUGUCUCAGUGAUGGGGACCAGCCCAGGCCGCUGUUUCCACAAAAGAAUGACUCUAACAGCAGAAAGGAGAGAUGUGUGCAGAGUGAGACCUCUGGCCUGCCAUGUGGGGGAACCCGCCCGGCUCCCGGCAGUGUCUCUUGGGUGGCCUCUGGGCCACCAGCGUCUGAAUCCCGGAGGACUUGUUAAGGAAGGAACCUACUCCCAGUCUGGUCCCUCAGAAUCAGAGUCCCUGGUAACAGGGGCCAGGGAAGCUGCACUUUUCCCCUGUGAUUUUCACGUAAAAUGAAGCUUUGGAAUCGCCAGUACAUGGGCAUGGGCAUGGGCAUGG
rnacentral:lncRNA from 10 species